rnacentral:hammerhead_ribozyme from 1 species
GUACUGCUGAAGAGUCCCAAAUUAGGGCUAAACAGCUGUCCAGUGC